rnacentral:lncRNA from 1 species
CUCAGUGGUAGAGCCCCUGCCUAGGAUCCCCCAGUGAGGGGCUGGGGUGUGGCUCAGUGGUAGAGCAUUUCCUAGUAUAUAAAGGCCCUGAGAUUCACCCCGAGUGAGACAAAGAAAGAAAAGAAGGCUAGAUCCUGGAGGAAGGACAGAAGGGAAGUCAGGGCACCUUGCUGACACCUGACCCUCCCUCCACAGGACCCACCAGACUGCUGAACUCCUUCUGUUCCUCAGAGGAAACGCUGCAGUGCACCUGCUCCUUCUACAGGAUCCCCACACCCUCUGCAAUGGUGGAUGGACAGUGCCCCAGUGGAUGUGAACAGUGGCCAUGGUCACCUCCAGGUGACCUCUGUCACACUUGGUCCCUGGGCCAACAGCACCCUCAGCCUGGUGAAGGACCCAGAAAUGGGCACCAGCCUUCUCUGUGAGGGCAAGCACCAACAUGGAGCCCAUGCCUUGAGCAUCCUACUGAUGUCAAGUGCGGGUUUGGACUGGAGGCCAGGAAGGGGUCCUUUGGCUCCCCACACCUUCCUGAAAGCAAUGUUCCAGGGCGUUGUCUAUUCAGCCAUGGCCAUCACGCUGCUCUUCCUCUGCCUCCUCGCCUUCAUGUGAGUACAUCUCAGUCCACUUUCUGCACUGUAACAAAACACCUGAGACGAGCUGGUGUACAAAGCAGAGAGGCUUAGUUGGCUCAUGCUGCUGGAAGUUGGAGAGAACACGGUGCUGACAUCUAGAUCUAGUGAGGACCUUUCUUGCUGCACCACAACAUGGCAUCACAUGGUGAGACUGGGCAAGCACCGUGGCUCAGGUCUCCCUUCUCUUAGAAAGCUACUAAUGCCAUCUUUGGGGCCCCACCCGCCCG